GACGAACGCUGGCGGCGUGCUUAACACAUGCAAGUCGAACGAGGUCCACCCAGUGGCAACACUGGUGAAGACCUAGUGGCGAACGGGUGAGUAACACGUGAGGAACCUGCCCCGAAGACU
rnacentral:rRNA from 1 species